rnacentral:rRNA from 1 species
GACGAACGCUGGCGGCGUGCUUAACACAUGCAAGUCGAACGGAAAGGCCCUGCGCUUGUGGGGUGCUCGUGUGGCGAACGGGUGAGUAACACGUGAGUAACCUGCCCUUGACUUUGGGAUAACUUCAGGAAACUGGGGCUAAUACCGGAUAGGAGCUCCUGCUGCAUGGUGGGGGUUGGAAAGUUUCGGCGGUUGGGGCUGGACUCGCGGCUUAUCAGCUUGUUGGUGGGGUAGUGACUUACCAAGGCUUUGACGGGUAGCCGGCGUGAGAGGGUGACCGGCCACAUUGGGACUGAGAUACGGCCCAGACUCCUACGGGAGGCAGCAGUGGGGAAUAUGGCACAAUGGGCGGAAGCCUGAGGCAGCAACGCCGCGUGCGGGAUGACGGCCUUCGGGUUGUAAACCGCUUUCGCCUGUGACGAAGCGUGAGUGACGGUAAUGGGUAAAGAAGCACCGGCUAACUACGUG